rnacentral:rRNA from 1 species
GUUGUGUAACGGUGAAAAUGCAUAGAUAUAACUCAGAACACCAAUUGCGAAGGCAGCUGUCUAGACUACAACUGACGCUGAGGCACGAAAGCGUGGGGAGCGAACAGGAUUUAGAUACCCUGGUAGUCCACGCUGUAAACGAUGAUCACUCGUUGUUGGCUACUUGGUAGUCAGUGACUAAGGGAAACCAUUAAGUGAUCCACCUGGGGAGUACGUCGGCAACGAUGAAACUCAAAGGAAUUGACGGGGGCCCGCACAAGCGGAGGAACAUGUGGUUUAAUUCGAUGAUACGCGAGGAACCUUACCUGGGCUUAAAUGCAGGCUGCAUUCCCGUGAAAGCGGGAUUUCCUACGGGACUGCCUGCAAGGUGCUGCAUGGUUGUCGUCAGCUCGUGCCGUGAGGUGUCGGGUUAAGUCCCAUAACGAGCGCAACCCCUAUCGCUAGUUGCCAGCAUGUAAUGGUGGGGACUCUAGCGAGACUGCCGGUGUAAACCGGAGGAAGGUGGGGACGACGUCAAAUCAGCACGGCCCUUACGUCCAGGGCUACACACGUGUUACAAUGGCCGGUACAAAGAGCAGCCACCUGGCGACAGGGUGCUAAUCUCCAAAGCCGGUCUCAGUUCGGAUCGAAGUCUGCAAUUCGACUUCGUGAAGGUGGAUUCGCUAGUAAUCGCGCAUCAGCCAUGGCGCGGUGAAUAAGUUCCCGGGCCUUGUACACACCGCCCGUCAAGCCAUGGA